rnacentral:rRNA from 1 species
UGAGGAAUAUUGGACAAUGGGCGCAAGCCUGAUCCAGCCACGCCGCGUGCAGGAAGACACCCCUACGGGGCGUAAACUGCUUUUAUGCGAGAAGAACCCUCGGGAUGCGUCCCGGGUUGACGGUACCGCACGAAUAAGCACCGGCUAACUCCGUGCCAGCAGCCGCGGUAAUACGGAGGGUGCAAGCGUUGUCCGGAAUUAUUGGGUGUAAAGGGUGUGUAGGCGGGCGCGUAAGUCAGAGGUGAAAGCCUGCGGCUUAACCGUAGAAUUGCCUUUGAUACUGCGCGUCUUGAGUCCUGGAGGGGUCGCCGGAAUUCGUGGUGUAGCGGUGAAAUGCGUAGAUAUCACGAGGAACACCGGAAGUGAAGACUGGUGGCUGGACAGGGACUGACGCUGAGGCACGAAAGCGUGGGGAGCAAACAGGAUUAGAUACCCCCGUAGUCC